rnacentral:lncRNA from 1 species
CCCCGUGCCGCCACCACUCGCUUCCUCUUCACCACCGCCCACAUCACCUUCGCCACCGCACCCAUCCCCUUCGCCAUCGCCCAAAUCCCCUUUGCCACCGCCCCCACCACUCCGUACCUACUCCCGUCGUCGUCUGCUGCUUCCUCCGGACGGCGACGCCGUCCUUCCCGACCCAUCCUCUGCUCCUCCGAUCUCCUCUCCGCCCUCCCCAAGUCCAGUCGCUGUACCCGCUCCCGUACCCAGUCCCGAGCCGGCCGUGCCAGUCCCUCUCCGUCGCUCCAGCCGUCCAGUCCGUCCGCCGGACCGCCUCACCUACCAUGUCUGCUCCACCGUUCCCCCCGACCAUUCGUCCUCCUUGCUGCCUGGUCCUAUCAAAGGUACUCGCUACCCCUUAGCUCGUUCUGUUUCCUAUCAUCGGUAUCUCCCGCAGCACCUCGCCUACACGGCCCAAAUCAGUCAAGUUACCGAGCCCCGUACCUACUCUGAGGCUGCCGCC